AGCUCCAAUAGCGUAUAUUAAAGUUGUUGCGGUUAAAAAGCUCGUAGUUGGAUCUCGGCGGGCAGGGGGUGGUUCGCUCUUCAGCGCUACUGCCCCGCUUUGCCCGUGUGAUUGGCGGAGGUUUCGGGGUGCUCUUCGUUGAGUGACUCGGAGCGCCGUCAGGUUUACUUUGAAAAAAUUAGAGUGCUCAAAGCAGGCUUUUCACGCUUGAAUAUUCGUGCAUGGAAUAAUGGAAUAGGAACUCGUUUCUAUUUUGUUGGUUUUCGGAAAUCGAGUUAAUGAUUAACAGGGACAAUUGGGGGCAUUAGUAUUCAGACGACAGAGGUGAAAUUCUUGGACCGUCUGAAGACUGACUACUGCGAAAGCAUUUGCCAAGAGUGUUUUCAUUA
rnacentral:rRNA from 1 species